UUUCCGGAAGCGAUGUGGUCCCUCUUCAGGGCAGUAACACCAUGCAGAGACACCGCAGUGUUUUAUCUGUGGCCCUGGUCCUCCAGGCUAGGUUAUUAGGAGGGAGAAGAGCGCAAGAGCGAAGGGAUCAGAGAACAGAGCUGUAGAUGUGCUCCCGUCUGGAAUGCAGGGACGCUGGUCUUUCAACCCCACCCCCACCGCAAGACAGGGGCUGGCAGAAUCUGUGUCUCCUCAAACAGGCAGUCUGUCCCAGGGCCCAGUCCCUUCCUUGAGUCGAUGGUGACUCACUCACUAGGUAGAAGCAGCUCAGGAAUCCAGCUGGAUCCAGUCACACCACACAGGAAGAGGCACCAUGGUCAAACUGAAAGGAAGCAUGAACUGAGUUGAAACUCCAUCCGAGCCCUGACUCUGCUGACCUCCAGAGAGGACCUCUUGGUCCUCUUUUGCAGAUGUACAGCUGGGUCUAGCAUGGUCUUGGCCUCUGCACCCACCGAAAGCAGUCGUCGACAGCUAAUCAUAGAGGGGCUGUAAGCCACAGACGUGUGCACUGGACAAAGGCGAUCUAGGACCACAUAGAGGGCUUCUGCUGCCCUCACCAUCACCUCACUCGGGAGUGAGUUUCAUCCAAGAAGUCGAAACAAGAAUCCUCCAGUGUUCGUCCCUUUCUCUUCGUACACAGCUCUGGGUCUGCCGACCCCACAAACGCAGCCGCCUUCCGUUGUUGCUAACAGCACGAGGCACACGGAGCAGAUCUCCCUGUUUCCAUUUUACUGAGGAUAAGAAGCACAGGUCCCCACAGCUCAAGGACUAGCCGAAGGCCAUUGACAAAGUCGCAGGGUAAAUUUAACAGGAUUGUCACAGGAUUAAAAGACGCACGUCACGGGACUUGGAAGGUAAAGGAAGAGGGAUCAGGAGUUCAAAUCCAACCAGAGCCACACAGCAAGUCUGAAGCCAGCCUCUGCUGCGAUGUACCAUUUAUAUAUCCAGCAGUAAAUGUCAGGUUCUUGCAGUGAACAGCUGGUACCUUCCUGAGGCCCUGAACCCCGAGGCUCCAGAAGAAACAAAGUCAUAGCACACUGAAGAUAAACCAGAGGUGUACCCAAGGCUGGGCUAGGAGCAACCCCAAGACCGGAAGAGAGAGGGCCACCUGAAGCUGCCAAGGUUGGUGGAGUGACAGAACAGGUCCCCAGGAGAAGAGCUGUGACUCACAGAGGACCCUGGCGGUAAGGUAGAGCAGGAAGCUGGAGAAGAAACACCACCGCCUCUAACUUCUUUCUUUCCACCCUCCUCCCUGCCUACCCCUUUACCCCCUCUCUCUCACUAUGUCUCUCCAGCUGGGCUCCCCACUGACCAGGCUGAGGGCUGGCAGCCAGAGGGUGCCUGCCAGAGAGAGCCCCUUUUCCUGGUGAGCCUCCAGUGUAGCCAAUCCUAGUGGCAAGAACCCCCUCUCUGAGCCGGUAGUGGGGUGCUGGGUGAAUG
rnacentral:sRNA from 1 species